GACGUGAUGACAGACGGUCGAUCACAUGAUAGGCAUAGCAAUCACGUGAUUUUCAGCUAUCUAGCUCGAGUCGUGUCUGUUGAAUUUCUACUACGGCUACGCUCAAAAACGGGAUACAGUUCCAUAAUUCUGACAAGUCAACAACCUAAUUCGAUAAAAAGAUGGCUGGUGGCUGGAUGCAGAUAGCAUUGGUUGCCCUGUUCUUGGGUGUGUGCCUGGCAUCGCUGAGUGAGAAUGAAGGUUCUAGAUUUCUAAAGAAGCCAGUUACUCCUUCCGCUCAUGGCUCUCCUUGGCCCAUGCCUCAAUCCAUCUCUGUGAUGCCCGAUGUCUACGAUUUAGCUGCACAGAAUGAUUUUACGUUGUCAGCCAGCAAGGUACAGUGUGAUAUAUUGAACAGUGCUUUCAAGCGUUAUCGAGCCAUUAUCUUCAACCGACCAGAAGCUAGGAAAACACCCAAGGCAUCUAAACACUUGAAGUUUUCUGCUAAUAGCAUCUUGAGUGGACUAGAUGUUGCUGUGAAUGAGCCUUGUCCGGAUUAUCCCGACCUGGAAUCUGAUGAGAGUUACACUCUGAUGGUCUCUGAGCCUGUUGCUAAUCUAGCUGCUAAAACUGUAUGGGGAGCCUUAAGAGGUCUGGAAACAUUCAGUCAGCUCAUUUAUGAUGGAGCAUUAGCUGGUCAGCUUGUCGUAAACAAGACAUCAAUCACAGAUUUUCCACGCUUCAAAUAUCGCGGUCUCCUGGUAGACUCAUCGAGACACUUUCUCAGUAUGUCUGCUGUCUUCAAAUGUCUGGAUGCAAUGGCCUAUAAUAAGUUCAAUGUAUUCCAUUGGCACAUCGUGGAUGAUCAGUCAUUUCCUUAUGAGAGCAAAGCAUUUCCUUCAAUGAGUGAAAAUGACGCAUACGACCAAAACCAUGUGUACACCAGGGAGAACAUCAAAGCUGUGAUCGACUACGCUCGCCUGCGAGGCAUCCGCGUCAUGCCCGAGUUCGACACGCCCGGCCACACCCAAUCCUGGGGGUCGAUACCUAAUCUUCUCACCCCUUGUUACUCCGGGACCAAGCUUACAGGUGGAUAUGGUCCUAUCGACCCCACCGUUGACAGCAACUACGAUUUCUUGAAGACUUUCUUUCAGGAGGUUGUCGAUCUGUUUCCAGACAAGUAUGUCCACAUGGGAGGAGAUGAGGUCAGCUUCACUUGCUGGAAGAGCAACCCACAAAUAACUACCUUCAUGCAACAACACCAGUACGGAACAAAUUACAGCAAGCUUGAGGAAUAUUAUGAGCAAAGAUUACUGGACAUCAUGGCCGACCUACAGACUGGAUAUACUGUGUGGCAAGAGAUCGUAGACAAUAACGUCAAGGUACGGGCUGAUACUGUUGUACAUGUAUGGAAGAAUCCUUACCCAAAUGAACUUGCUAAGGUUACUGCUAUGGGCUACAAAUCCAUUCUUUCUACUCCUUGGUACCUGAACCUCAUAAGCUAUGGCAAUGACUGGAAAAAAUACUAUGCUGUGGAACCGACACAAUUCAAUGGUAGUCACCAAACAUUUUCACCAGCACAUCUCUAACUAAACAAUUAUCUUGAUGCGUUUUACAUAUAGGUACGGGCUGAUACUGUCGUACAUGUCUGGAAGAACCCGUACCCGAGUGAACUCGAUAAGGUUACGGCAAAGGGCUUCAAAACCAUUCUUUCCACUCCUUGGUAUCUUAACUACAUAAGCUACGGCGAUGACUGGAAAAAAUACUACGCUGUGGAGCCAACACUUUUCAACGGUACCAAUGCUCAGAAGGAAUUGGUGAUCGGUGGAGAAGCAUGCAUGUGGGGAGAAUAUGUGGACUCUACUAACCUAAUUCAGAGAACUUGGCCUCGAGCAAGUGCGGUAGGUGAGCGUCUGUGGAGCGCCAAGAGUGUGACAUCAGCGGUGACUGCAGGACCAAGACUAGUAGAGCAUAGAUGUCGUAUGAUCAGGCGUGGCCUUCAAGUUGAACCAGUUACGGGACCGAACUAUUGCCCCUAUGAAUAUGAAGACUGAGAUCUGCCAGAUUGCCAUACUCUUGUUAUUCCGUUGUCUCUGUUUGGUUUAACUUUGUGUGUGUGUUUUUUUCCAUAGAUAUAGGUUUUAUAAAAACAUAAUUUAGUAAUUAUCGUAUAUAAUAAUAAUAAUCUAGGUUUAUUUACCCAGGGAAGCCGCUUCAGUUCUGAAAACUGUAUAUGAUAAUAUACAGUAUAUACGGUAUAUGAUAAUAAACUGAUGGUGUAAGUGUAAAGUUUAAGGUAAGUAAUAAUUUCUCAGAAAUAAGUAUGCCUACAUUUGUAAUCAGUAAUUGCAAUGAUUUUGUUGUUGUUUGUUUGUAGAAUGGUAAUAUUAAUCCCAACCGGGGGGGGGGGGGGGGGGCAUCUUCAGAUGCAGACUUGGAGAACACUGAAUGUUAUGUAGUUAUGCAGGCAAUAAUGUCAGCAUGCAUAGCAAUACCACAAACACUGUGUUUACACACGAAUUGGCUCAAGUGUUUAAUCCUCAAGCAGGGUCGAACGCUGCGAAGAGGGCAACUGUGAUCGCGUAUAUACUGAAACAAAAAAAGGCGAGUUCGACACAGCCCGCGGAUCAUGAACGGAAGUAGAAUAGACGUAAAAAAAUAUAUGCUGUAUUUGACCUAGGUUAUGCGGGAUCGACACAACUUUCUGUUUACACAUGAAAUAAUAGGCGAGUCUGACUUGGCUCGCGAGUUGAAAGCUACGAUUUAGGCGGAUCAAAAAAGCAGUGUUCGACAAGGCUCGCGGAUCACACUGAUCGCGUUUACACAGCAUAGAAUUGCUAUGUUUAGCAUGGCUUGCGUGUCGAACCCGCGAGCCAAGUCACUUUGUAAACACUGUGUAGGACAAACUGUAUACACUUAUACAAGAUGUAUCAAUAGAAAUGUAAUUCACAGUUUCUCGAUUGUUCAUAAGAUGAUUAUGGAAUUAAGAAUUAUAAAACUUGUAUUGCAUGAUGCUACCACUGCCAGCAUUCGAUACAUGUAUCUAGGACUAUAGACCACUACACAAUAAUUUUCGAAAAAAAAGUAGUGCAAAUAUCAGCUGAUUACUCCCACUGCGUGCAGAUGGGCAAAUAUUGAGAAUGUGCUUACGAACGAUGCAGCUAUGCAAUCAAUUUUAUCAUCAUUGUUUUUAACAUUAAAAAUAAUUUUUCUCAAUAUCAGUAUGUUAGGAGCAAUAGGCUCUUAUGAAAUAAAACUCAAAUAGGUUAUAAUACAUUAAAAAACGUGCUGAGACUUUGUGGAUGUUCUUAUACCUUUGAUUUGUCAUUAUAAUCUGUGUUAAGCAUGAAAGAAUGCAAUAGAGCUCUCUUAUUUCAAGGAGUAUGUACCAAUCUAUUGUACUUAAUUUACUCAGAUUUCUUCGUUAUAUACCUUGUGAACUCCACAUAUCAAAAAUCUCUAAUUCAAGGGAAAAUAUGUCAUGAGCACAUAAUUAGGGUAUGUGGCCAGAAAGAAUAUUGUAGACCGAAUAAUUUGAUGCAAUAUUAAUGUAGUAAAGGUUUAUGCUCGAAAAAUCAGUACCUAUUCUUUACUGUGAUGUAAGUUUCAAUAGCUCCAGGCAUGACUGCAAUGAAUAAAUCCAUAUGUCAGUGAAGUCGUAAUCUUACAAGUGUUGCUGUAAAGUCCAUUGCAAAAAACCAGUUCAAUGAUUAACAUAAAAAUUAUUUUAUAAUAACCUUUUAGUAUCAACUCUCAACUUAAUUUCACUGAAAUCAGGUUUAAAAUGGCAUUUACUGGAGCUCAUGUAGAAGUAUGACAUCAUUGGCAUCUGUAUUCAUUCAAUCAUUGCAGCCAUGCCUUUAUUUUGCGCAAAUCAAAAUUUAUAUUGAAGUAAAGAAAACCUCCUGUAAGCAUGGCUAUAAGUCACGCCCCCCCCUCAGAUUAUUGAAGCAUAAAUCAAAUUAUUUCCGGAGUUGGUACUCUUUCAGGCCAUAUAUAAUAAUCAUGCGUUCAUGACAUGUUUAUCUCUGCAUUCAAACAUUUCUAUUCAGCAUAUGUGGCGUAUAAUACAUGUUAUAGUCAUGCAGAUCAUGUUGUAAGUCUUUCUAUGUAUCAACACAUUUUAUACUACAUAUUUUGUAUAUUUGCUUUUAUAAGUGGAAUGAUAAACUGAAGUGGAAAUUUGAAUAUGAAAUCUAAAGUCUUGUAAUCUAGGAAUAUCAAUAUUUUACUUUUUUAGACCAGUGGUUGAAGAAAAAGGGUUCAGACUUUACUCGUUGGAUCAUGCAAUUAAUGGAAGGAUUAUGCGUAUCAUAUUUGAUGAUCAUUGGAAAUGUCAAAGCUUGUGCACUUGUACUGAUUAUGUAGAGAAGGUGUCUUUUCACCAAAUCUUUCUUUGUCAAUCUCUUCUAAGUGUAGAUGGCAUUGUUGUAUCUAUCAAAAUCUGUCUCGGUGCAUUAUACCCCCACAUUCCAAAUUUACUGAUUAAAUUCUCUGUUUUUUUUUCUAAAUGUAUUUUUGUAUUCUCGUUAUUGAGUACCUACAGUAUGUUGUAUUUUGGUAUGUUGUAAACUUUAUAAUAAUGUCAAAGACAUGAUCUUUUUUUAUAUAAAUGUGGAAAUAAACUUUGUGAACUGUGCUUAUGUCUGAACCUCAAUGCUCAAAUUACAUUAAAACCUAUGAAAUUGUA